AGACCCUGCCUGGGGGAGGAGCUGAUGGAGGCCCUGCCUGCUGGAGGAGCUGAUGGAGGCCCUGCCUGGUGGAGGAGCUGAUGGAGGCCCUGCCUGCUGGAGGAGCCGUGCUGAAGGCCCUGCCUGGUGGAGGAGCUGAUGGAGGCCCUGCCUGGUGGAGGAGCUGAUGGAGGCCCUUCCUGAUGGAGGCCCUGCCUGGUGGAGGAGCUGAUGGAGGCCCUGCCUGGUGAAGGGGCUGAUGGAGGAGGAGCUGGUGGAGGUCCUGCCUGGUGGAGACCCUGCCUGGUAGAGGAUGUCUGUCGUGAGGACUUUCGCUGUUUGUUCCAGACCAGGACUCGUCCGAGGAGAGUUGAUGGUUGAGCUGAGACGCUGGAGGACGACUAGGAAUCGACCAACAAGGAUUCCUCAUAAGUUUGCAUUUACUUAAAAUUGUUGACUUAAAGGGCAAAAUACAGCGGUUACUUUGACAUGCGUUAACAAACUACCGCUGUGUUUUCUUACUAGAACGUGUUUCUGGAGCGGAGGCGAGCUGGCAGGGGAGCCGUGAAUCUGGAGGAUGACCAUCACUCUACCAACAUGGAUUGCCUCUGAGGAGAGCUGAUGGAGGAGCCAAGACUCUGGAGGACGACAUCACUCUACCAACAAGGAUCCACACCCCUGAGCUGAACCCCACCUGAUCCUGUUUGGUCGGGGGCAGACACACCUGAGCUGAACCCCACCUGAUCCUGUUUGGUCGGGGACAGACACACCUGAGCUGAACCCCACCUGAUCCUGACACCCUGCUGGUCCCGUCUCCUCAGUUCAUCUGAGCCUCGUCCUCCAGAAGACCUGCUGAGCUCAGCGGUCUGAGGCUGAUGGAUCAAUG
ensembl:lncRNA